CCUACGGGAGGCAGCAGUGGGGAAUAUUGGACAAUGGGGGGAACCCUGAUCCAGCCAUGCCGCGUGUGUGAAGAAGGCCCUCGGGUUGUAAAGCACUUUCAGUGAGGAAGAACGCCUGGUGGUUAAUACCCAUCAGGAAAGACAUCACUCACAGAAGAAGCACCGGCUAACUCCGUGCCAGCAGCCGCGGUAAUACGGAGGGUGCGAGCGUUAAUCGGAAUUACUGGGCGUAAAGCGCGCGUAGGUGGCUUGAUAAGCCGGUUGUGAAAGCCCCGGGCUCAACCUGGGAACGGCAUCCGGAACUGUCAAGCUAGAGUGCAGGAGAGGAAGGUAGAAUUCCCGGUGGAGCGGUGAAAUGCGUAGAGAUCGGGAGGAAUACCAGUGGCGAAGGCGGCCUUCUGGACUGACACUGACACUGAGGUGCGAAAGCGUGGGUAGCAAACAGGAUUAGAUACCCCAGUAGUC
rnacentral:rRNA from 1 species